rnacentral:rRNA from 1 species
ACUACGGGGUGCACCAGUGGGGAAUAUUGCACAAUGGGCGCAUGCCUGAUGCAGCCAUGCCGCGUGUAUGAAGAAGGCCUUAGGGUUGUAAAGUACUUUCAGUUGGGAGGAAGGCGUUGAUGCUAAUAUCAUCAGCGAUUGACGUUACCAACAGAAGAAGCACCGGCUAAUUCCGUGCCAGCAGCCGCGGUAAUACGGAGGGUGCAAGCGUUAAUCGGAAUUACUGGGCGUAAAGCGCACGCAGGCGGUUGAUUAAGUUAGAUGUGAAAUCCCCGGGCUUAACCUGGGAAUGGCAUCUAAGACUGGUCAGCUAGAGUCUUGUAGAGGGGGGUAGAAUUCCAUGUGUAGCGGUGAAAUGCGUAGAGAUGUGGAGGAAUACCGAUGGCGAAGGCAGCCCCCUGGACAAAGACUGACGCUCAGGUGCGAAAGCGUGGGGAGCAAACAGGAUUAGAUACCCUCGUAGUC